AGUGAACGCUGGCGGUAGGCCUAACACAUGCAAGUCGAACGGCAGCACAGUAAGAGCUUGCUCUUACGGGUGGCGAGUUGCGGACGGGUGAGGAAUACAUCGGAAUCUACUUUUUCGUGGGGGAUAACGUAGGGAAACUUACGCUAAUACCGCAUACGACCUACGGGUGAAAGCAGGGGAUCUUCGGACCUUGCGCGAUUGCAUGAGCCGAUGUCGGAUUAGCUAGUUGGCGGGGUAAAGGCCCACCAAGGCGACGAUCCGUAGCUGGUCUGAGAGGAUGAUCAGCCACACUGGAACUGAGACACGGUCCAGACUCCUACGGGAGGCAGCAGUGGGGAAUAUUGGACAAUGGGCGCAAGCCUGAUCCAGCCAUACCGCGUGGGUGAAGAAGGCCUUCGGGUUGUAAAGCCCUUUUGUUGGGAAAGAAAAGCAGCAGGUUAAUACCCCGCUGUUCUGACGGUACCCAAAGAAUAAGCACCGGCUAAAUUCGUG
rnacentral:rRNA from 1 species